rnacentral:rRNA from 1 species
CCUACGGGAGGCAGCAGUAGGGAAUAUUCGGCAAUGGGCGCAAGCCUGACCCAGCAACGCCGCGUGAAGGAAGAAGGCUUUCGGGUUGUAAACUUCUUUUCUCAGGGACGAAGAGAGUCACGGUUCAUGAGGUAUAAGCCACGGCUAACUACGCACCAGCAGCCGCGGUAAUACGUAGGGGGCAAGCGUUAUCCGGAUUUAUUGGGUGUAAAGGGCGUGUAGGCGGGGGCGCAAGUCAGAUGUGAAAACUCAGGGCUCAACCCUGAGACUGCAUUUGAAACUGUGUUUCUUGAGUGCUGGAGAGGGAGUCGGAAUUCCGGGUGUAGCGGUGAAAUGCGUAGAUAUACGGAGGAACACCAGUGGCGAAGGCGGAUUGCUGGACAGUAACUGACGCUGAGGCGCGAAAGCGUGGGGAGCAAACAGGAUUAGAUACCCGUGUAGUC